AAGAUCCUGGACCGACCGGGAAUCGAACCCAGACACCUUCAGCAUGGCUUUGCUUUGCAGCCGCGGCCUUUAACCACUCCCGAUGCCCCGAUGUUUGCGAGUCUGUCAUGUUUGUUUUGCGUUGGUUUACACUCGUGAGGUGCUUCAUGAUGUGAACAUUUCCAUCACUUUUUAAGAGCAUUAUGUAAACUUGAGAAGCAAAUGACUAUCAAUUUUGUUUUUUUUUUUUGACGUAAUAACAAUUGGAAAUUUAUUGACAUAAAGUU